rnacentral:rRNA from 1 species
GAUGAACGCCGGCGGUGUGCCUAAUACAUGCAGUCGUACGCACUGGCCCAACUAAUUGAUGGUGCUUGCACCUGAUUGACGAUGGAUCACCAGUGAGUGGCGGACGGGUGAGUAACACGUAGGUAACCUGCCCCGGAGCGGGGGAUAACAUUUGGAAACAGAUGCUAAUACCGCAUAACAACAAAAGCCGCAUGGUUUUUGUUUGAAAGAUGGCUUUGGCUAUCACUCUGGGAUGGACCUGCGGUGCAUUAGCUAGUUGGUAAGGUAACGGCUUACCAAGGCGAUGAUGCAUAGCCGAGUUGAGAGACUGAUCGGCCACAAUGGAACUGAGACACGGUCCAU